ACAGAAGACACAGACAUCCUCCUCAUCACAAACAUGACUUUCAUCUUCAUCUGGACUCUCCUCUGCUGCUGCUUCACAGAGUCCAGAGGUCAGAUCACAGUGACUCAGCCUGGAUCAGUGACUUCUGCUCUGGGAGACUCCGUCACCAUCAGAUGUAAAACCAGUCAGGAUGUGUACAGUGAGGAUUUUUCUGAGUACAUAUUAGCCUGGUACCAACAGAAAGAUGGAAAGACACCAAAACUCCUUAUUUACUGGGCAAGCCAUAGAGAAUCUGGGAUUCCAGAUCGUUUUUCAGGCAGUGGAUCAAACUCUGACUUCACUCUGACCAUCAGUGGAGUUCAAGCUGAAGAUGCUGCAGUUUAUUACUGUCAGAGUUAUCACUACAUCAACAGUGAAACUGUGUUCACACAGUGA